GAUGAAGAACGUAGCGAAAUGCGAUACGUAAUGUGAAUUGCAGAAUUCAGUGAAUCAUCGAGUCUUUGAACGCACAUUGCGCCCCCUGGUAUUCCGGGGGGCAUGCCUGUCCGAGCGUCAUUGCUGCCCUCAAGCACGGCUUGUGUGUUGGGCCUCCGUCCUCCUCCCGGGGGACGGGCCCGAAAGGCAGCGGCGGCACCGCGUCCGGUCCUCGAGCGUAGUAAUUUUUCUCGCUUUGGAGGCCCGGGCGCGUGCUUGCCAUCAACCCCCAAUUUUUUUCAGGUUGACCUCGGAUCAGGUAGGGAUACCCGCUGAACUUAAGCAUAUCAAUAAGCGGAGGA
rnacentral:misc_RNA from 1 species